GUUAAGAUAGCAAAACUGGUCACUGCAUAAAACUUAAGCUUUUACUCACGGAGGUUCAACUCCUCUUCUUAACA
rnacentral:tRNA from 1 species